GUGCGUCAGUUCCAGGAGGAGGGCGCAUGGGGUGAGCUCAGGGCAGAAGGCUUUUGUUCCAAAGCCCCUCUGACCUGAACGCACACACUCACAGCGUGCCCUGUAUCUGGCUCAGAAGCCGUCGCUCCGAAGAAGGUAAAGCGAGACAAUAUUUAAUACUUCAAAAGAGACUGAUUGUAUUUAAGGCUCAGCCUUUAUGAGUCAAGCACAAAUUUUCAGAUUGCUUUUUCAAUGCCAGGAAGCAAGAUCCUGGUGUGAGAGCAAGCUGCUCCCUCACAAACAGAAAGAGAACAGGCCGCAAAGGGGGUGGGGGGGACCGUAGUCUGAGGGCCUCUGACUCACCAGAGAUCACAGAAGGCCAGCUGUCACCAUUGUUACUCUGCUCUUUUAGAAGAUAACUGUCUGUCUUACUAUUCCUUUUAAAGUAUGCCAGAGCAAAUCCAGAUAUUCUUUAAUUAAUACUCUCAGGGUGGUUUGAAUAUUUAAAAAUAAGGUUUUGAAAAACGUACAAGGCAGUAUCACACUGGGGAGGCCGAAUUGCAGACGUAAAGUUGACUUUAGCCAGUUUUCUCCUACCCUCUUCUAACACAAACUGGUGAAGCUCUGAGGUUGCCCUUUAAAGGGCAGCCUUCAGACUACCAAGCAGAGUAAUUCCUCAGAAUUGUCCCACGUUGUCCUAGAGAAGUCGUCUUUAUAGGCAUGGAGUAGGGUGUCUGCAGGCCUCCAGUCAAUUCCAACCGAUUUCAACUGCCAAAGUUAAAAGUUGCCAUUGCAGUUACUGUCGGACCAAAGUAACCCCUGAGAACUCUCCACAUUUGUAAAACGGACUGAAAGGUUCAGUGGCGUUUCCCACCUGGAACAGGACUAGUAAUGCUUUGAACGUGAAGAGGUAUUAAUGGCCACUUGCCCUUUAAACCACAGAGGGACAGCUGAGCACAGUGACCUUCUAGCCCAACUUGAGAGAAGCAGGAAAUGGGGUCUGAGGCUGAAGGUUCAGAUGAUAAAAUGCCCCUCGGGAAGAUAACGAAAUGCUUCAUCCGAUGGUGGCCCAAGACACCUCUUAAAAUCUAAGGAAAUCGUUUCCCUUUUAAAAAGCUGCUUUGUGGAAAUAACAAGUGAGAUCUUUUCCUGCUGUUUGUCUCUCUGCCUGAAUCCGGACAUAUUUUCUCUCACAGAUGUCAAUCUUUUGCUAAAAGUCUAUAAAUGAUAUUUCUUUUAAUAGUCCUAAAACAUAAACUACUGUUUCCUCCAACUCUUUCUAGGUUCCCAGAAUGUUUCCAUGGUCUUAUUCUAUUACAAUGUUUGAAACUUUAGUAAUAUUAAGAAAUCCAUUCUCCACAUGAGUCCAUCAGCUUCACUCUGUUCUCACAUAUUUCCCCACAGGUGGCUGGACAGGGAAAAUCUAAAUGACUGGGAUAGCUAAUAGCCUUAAAAAUACUAGGCCCCAAGUAGCAAAGAGACUGUGUCUCUAAACAUCUGGAUUCAUUGCACACUAUAUGCAAAUUGAUGCCAGCAUAUUUACAAAGGUCUCUGUAUACCCAGAAUACCAGGUGACUGUCCCCUGUGAGGAACUGUCGUGGGAAUGAGGCGAUAGGACUGGUUGAAGGAAAUGCUAAGAAGCUCUCUCCUUUGUGGACUGAGGGACCAGCUUCAACACCAGAGGGGUGCAAUCCCAGCAGAAAAGGAACACUGUCUCUAAUGUUGCAACAAAGUAACCAGCAUGAAGUUAGCAAGAAGAAAUCACGGUUGCAGCUGCUGAACACUGAUCCCUACCUGCUUUAAACUUAGAUCCAGAACGGAGCCGGCACAGUGACUUACGUCACUCCCACUGGCUUAAGAGAACAGAGAAUGACAUAUAGACAAGAUGCUACCUCCCAUGGAAAGGCCCCUAUACAUAAAGUCACUUUAUUUCUCUGUCACUUCCCUGAAAAUAAUUUAUGUAAUUAUGCUGUUAAUGAAGUCUAACAACUCAAGGUUUGUUUAUUGACUAUUACUUAAUGCUACCAAAGCAUGUGUGAAUACCCUCCCACAAGAUGGCACCUGUUGAUUCUCCUUCAUAGUAAAGAUAAGAGAUUCCAACCACUCCCUCUCCUAUGCCCACUCCCAGAUAUGUGUAAUUUCUUCCCACUCCUUCCAGUCUCAGAAGGGGUAAGAUGAACUGAGAAGGGACCCUAUUUGUACAAAUAGGUUUCAGGAUGUUGUCAUAUGUGCUUCCUGGGACUCUGUGGUAAUAAGAGCUGUUUUAAGGUCACUCAUGCAUAAACCCCCAUCCACGAUUUGAUAAAUAAACCCACCGUCCAACCAAUCAAAAAUGCUAAAGUAGGGAGAAAUUGUUCUUCCUUUUUGUUGAUGCCAGUGCCCUAGCCAAGGUGAAUAGACGUUUGUUCAAGCUGUUGCUGUAAAAGAUACUGUGAUGUUCAUUUGUAAAUAUCAUCAGAGUUACUCCUACAGGUCGACUCUCUGUGUAAGACACUAAAAAUGGAUAAUACUCAUCAAGUUUCUCAUGUGUCCAUUAACACAUUGUCUUCUAGAAUCAAUCCUCAUUUCCAUUUGCAGAUGUAUUCUUGUCUGUCAGGGUGUGAUGUCUAGAACAGUGGUUACCUCUUAGUCUAAAAGGCUCAUUCUGGACCAAGAUGACUGCAUUCCAUUAGUUACAGGGAGUGGUUCCAAAGUCAGUAUUCAGACUAAAUCCAUUUAAUCAAAUAAUUUUAUGGAUUGAGUUACAGAGACAGGAACUAAGAUCUACCCUUUCCAAGGAUUUCCUUCAGUGAGAAGAAAAUAGUGUGGUGAUUCAAGAGGGUGUUAUGAUGUACACGGGAUAUAUGAAGGCAUUCUGAUAUACACAGAAAGAAAGGUCAUGAUUGCAAUGGACAGAAGGAAACCCAAUCCAUUGGACACAGAGCCUGACCUGAACCUACCAACAUUAUUUAACAUCAGUAUUGAGUGUCACUUGAAAGAAUUAAAUAUUUGGUGCUAAAAGAACCAGUAAAUAGCAGCUUUGUUCAUCAGCUAGUUUGAAAUUGUUGCUGCCUUCUUUCUAGUUUCUACGUUAGUUAAAGUUGUUUUGAAAUAGAACCGAGAGAGAGAAGGUAGGUAGGAAGGAAGAUAGAUAGACCCAGAUCUAUUAGAUUGAUUUCCACUAUUAAAGACAGGGUCAUCCUCCUUCAGGUUAGGUCCUUCCUUCCCUGUUAGUCCUCCUCGGGUCAACAGCCAUGUGCAAGUAGCAGAGACAAAGACCUCUGUAGUUUCUUAGCCAAAGAAUGGAGACCAAUGAUCCAGUCCUAAUAUAAGAUGUAGAACCAGGAACUUGCCUGGAGACAUACUGGAGAGUAAAUAUUCAAGGGCCAAAGAAGCUGGAGACAAAUUGUGGAGUUAUGCACUAAUAAGCAUAUUCAUUCCAAUAGAUGGCUGAGUACACAUGCUAGACAGCUUUCUUACUUUCUGCCUGUACUCCAUUGAAGACAUCAGCUUAUCCUAUAGCAUGGUCCAUGUUUAGCCUCAUCUUCUCUUCCUUGUGUAAAUUCUCUGGGAAUGCCCUAACAGACACAGCCAAAGGUGAUCCAUUUCUCUGCCAGAUGGUUCCCUAAGUGGUCAAGUUGACAGUCACAACUCACCAUCAACAGUCCUUGCAUGUGAUGUUAUAUUCUAGUCAUCUUCACUGUCGCCAUACUGUGUAGAUAGAUACUAGUUGCUUUCAUAGAGACAGGAAAGCUGAGUUGACCCAGGUCAAUUCUUUUUUGUUUUUUUUUU
rnacentral:lncRNA from 1 species